rnacentral:rRNA from 1 species
GGGUGAGUAACGCGUGGGUAACCUGCCCUGUACACACGGAUAACAUACCGAAAGGUAUGCUAAUACGGGAUAACAUAAGAAAUUCGCAUGUUUUUCUUAUCAAAGCUCCGGCGGUACAGGAUGGACCCGCGUCUGAUUAGCUAGUUGGUGAGGUAAUGGCUCACCAAGGCGACGAUCAGUAGCCGACCUGAGAGGGUGAUCGGCCACAUUGGAACUGAGACACGGUCCAAACUCCUACGGGAGGCAGCAGUGGGGAAUAUUGCACAAUGGGCGAAAGCCUGAUGCAGCAACGCCGCGUGAGCGAUGAAGGCCUUCGGGUCGUAAAGCUCUGUCCUCAAGGAAGAUAAUGACGGUACUUGAGGAGGAAGCCCCGGCUAACUACGUGCCAGCAGCCGCGGUAAUACGUAGGGGGCUAGCGUUAUCCGGAUUUACUGGGCGUAAAGGGUGCGUAGGCGGUCUUUUAAGUCAGGAGUGAAAGGCUACGGCUCAACCGUAGUAAGCUCUUGAAACUGGAGGACUUGAGUGCAGGAGAGGAGAGUGGAAUUCCUAGUGUAGCGGUGAAAUGCGUAGAUAUUAGGAGGAACACCAGUAGCGAAGGCGGCUCUCUGGACUGUAACUGACGCUGAGGCACGAAAGCGUGGGGAGCAAACAGGAUUAGAUACCCUGGUAGUCCACGCCGUAAACGAUGAGUACUAGCUGUCGGAGGUUA